GACGAACGCUGGCGGCGUGCUUAACACAUGCAAGUCGAACGACGUGGCGAACGGGUGAGUAACGCGUAAUCAACCUGCCCUUCAGAGGGGGACAACAGUUGGAAACGACUGCUAAUACCGCAUACUGAAGGAGGGGAUUGCGUUUGAUUAGGUAGUUGGAGGGGUAACGGCCCACCAAGGCGAUGAUCAGUAGCCGGUCCGGUAGGAGUAACGGCCACAUUGGGACUGAGACACGGCCCAGACUCCUACGGGAGGCAGCAGUGGGGAAUCUUCCGCAAAGGACGAAAGUCUUACGGGGCAAAGCCGCGUGAGUGAUGACGGCCUUCGGGUUGUAAAGCUCUGUUAGUCAGGACGCGGUACCGGAAUAGAAAGCCACGGCUAACUACGUGCCAGCAGCCGCGGUAAUUC
rnacentral:rRNA from 1 species